ACACACAGUGUUUUAAGCGCACUCAAUCAGAUCGGAGCUACCUGUCGCACUGACGAGCAGGCGACUUAGGGAGCAUGAGUAUUCAAGACAUGCCCGUGGAUUACAGGAGGUCUCCCUCCCCGGGAACCAUCUUCCCCUCCCCUCCAAGGAAGAUGCUGAGCAAAAAAGACUUGUGUCAAAUUGAUGAUUCGCCCGUGAGGAAAAACAAAAGGAAAAGUAGUGAGCCUAAGAAGAGGACACCAGAGUGAUUCUAACAGUUCUCCCCCUGUACCUCACGGACUUAUGCUAUUUCCCACACAUAUUCCCCCGGGAUAUUUAAUUCCGGGAUUUCCCUACGGACAUCCAGGUUUACCAUUUCCACCCCAACCGUCUCAUUUAAAUGUUCCUAGAUUGGAUUACUUAAAUAGAAACAAUACCUCAAAUUACGCUCCACCUGGUGAAAAGGUGGAAGCCCGGAGUCGUGUGAGUGACAAAACGAGUGAGAAAUCCUUGACUUCUAGUGACAACAGGGACAGUAAAGUCAGCGUGUGUCCCCAGGAAGAAGAUACGGAAGAUGGCUACACGUCGGACGCUAUGUGUAAAAACGGAAGCAAAAAAUCCAGGAAAAAUUAUAAGAACAUGACCCGGGAGCGUCGGAUAGAGGCGAAUGCCCGGGAAAGAACCCGAGUCCAUACAAUUAGUGCUGCUUUUGAGAACCUUCGGCGAGCCGUUCCGUCCUAUUCUUAUAACCAGAAAUUAUCCAAACUCGCCAUUCUCCGAAUAGCAAGUAGUUAUAUUAUGGCUCUCGGGCGGCUGACAGAAGUUGACAAUUUUGAGAAUAAGGAAUCUCGUGCUGAGUUUGGUGAGUGCGUGGACAUGUGUACUCGGACAAUUCAGACGGAAGGGCGGGCUAGGAGAAGACAUUAAUUCAUUUUAAUUAAAAACUCAUUGAAUGAAAACUAGUAAUUUUUAAAAGUUAAAGAAAAUUGAAAAUAAAACCAACAAGCAUUUUCGAGGAAAGAAACCCUCUUUUCCAACAUGAAAAAAAAUAUAAAGGAAAAAAAUUAUUGUGAAACAUCUGGUCGAAUUAUUACUUCUGUCGAUAAACUGAGAGCGGGGAAAAACUUGGCUGCGGGAUUAGCAACGGAACCACUGACUGUAGAUCAUUUAUGAUAUGAUCAAACGGGGAUCCAGAUGGUGUUUUUCGGCGUAUUGUGUUGCACAAAUAAGCCCCUGUAUACGCAGCGCUUGAUGAAUACGUUUAUUUUUGUUGAACAUGCCGCCCGUUUGAUGCGGCGCCAGCUGUGGAAGUAGAAACCCGAUAGUCGUAGAGACAUUGUUAGAAUACACGUCGGAGAAGAAUUUUGGCCAGGAGAUCAUGGCGGAUUAUCUUAGCGAAAAAUUAUGUUUCUAUAGUGUCAAACCCCCUCUCCAUUAUUGCAAAUUUUUUUUCAUAUAGCUGUGAUACAGUCUGUUGUUUUCCCCCGUUUACUUUGAUACGAUGGGCGAAAAAAAAACUUGGAAUCCCAAUAUGUAGAUGUUUCAAAGACUUUAUGUGCAAUUUUUCUGUUUUUUGUUUUUUUUUUAUUUUGAGAAAUGAAAAUGUGCUUGAUAUGAAUCGGUGCUAGAAAAAUAAAUUGUAUUCAUCCC
rnacentral:misc_RNA from 1 species